ensembl:lncRNA
AUUUCGAAGAAUUACACUGAUUGAAACCAUUAAGAACAGACUUAGAGUUCAUCGACAACUGGCCAAAGUAGAAAUGAUGAUUUAUAAUUUUGGAGUAUUUCCAAUUCAUUAAUAACAUUUAAUAUACAUGCAAGAUUGAUUUUUUUUUGCCAAACUGACUGCUUACGUCUCUUAAGUAAAUUCAUUACAAUACUUAGUGUUUAUUCAUGACAUAACAUUUUCAAAUUUUGAUCUGUAGUACCUAUUUCUGACUUAUUUUGUCAAUUUGUCCACAUCUCUCCCUAUUAUCUCUUUCUAGAAGUAAAAGUCUUGUACACAUUUUUUUUUUUUUGCAGUACCAGGGAUCAAACUCAGGACCUUGCACUUGUGAGGCAGGUGCUGUGCUGCUGAGCUAAAUCCCUGGGCCCUUAUUUUUAUACUAUCUAGGCCUCUAAGAUCUAAACAAGCAGAUUCUUCUUGAAUUUUUUCUUGCCUGGUGAAAGAUACGGUAAUUCAUGGAGAGGUUUGUGCAGCUCUUAGUUAUCCCUAACAUUGAUGUGCUUACACUGAAAGCAGAUUGGUCUCAGCAUUUAUGUUAUUUGUUUUCAAAUUUAAUACAUCUUUAAGGUAUCACUGUACAGGCUAAGUAGAAUAUACACUCAUUACUCUUUCUCUUAUUUUUAAAAGUGAGUUUUGGCAUAUUAAAUUUCUAAUGGCACUGAAAUUUUAACCAGGAAGACAAACAGCAAGUAGAUGAUGAUGAUGAGAUGAUGAUGAUGAUGAUGAUGAUGAUGAUGAUACUCAUGAGCAUGAUGAUUUGAUUUCUUGAGACAAGUUCUUGCUAUGUAGUUCAGGCUGGCCUUGAACUCACUAUGAAGCCCAGGAGAGCCUUGGACUCAAAGCAAUCCUCCUGCCUCAGCCUCUGAAUGCUAGGAUUAUAGGCGGGUGCUACCACUCCCAGAGCCAGUAGAUUUUUUUAAAGCGAUGAAGAUUUAACUUAUAUUUUAGUUUAUUUUAGGACACAUCAUGAGAAGACAAGGGUUUCUUUAAUCAGUUAAUUAAUAUUCAUAAUUCUUAUUCAAAAUGGCAGCAAAGCAGAUUCUAGUUCAGAAACUUUCUUGUACACUUGUACUUGUAUAUUUUCAUAUAAAGUAAAGUCUUCUACUUUUGGAUUGAUAUAUGUGCAUCUACUCACAUAUAUAUCCUAUUGCAAUUGUUAUAUUUGUACCAGUUUACAUAUGCAGAUGUUUAUAUAAACAUUAUGACUUUAUUAUAAUAUAAAAAGCACAAAUGGCCAUACAUUAUAAGAUAAUUAAUGCACUAUUUUCAAAAAUUCUUUUUCAGUACAUAAGUCACAAAUAUUUGAUUAUGAUUUUAAAAGAUCAAGUAAAGACUUCUAAAUCCAAAGCACAAUUUAUUCACAUAAAGAGUGAUUCUCCUUAAACAAUCAUAAAUACUCACAGUAAAUAUUUUUCUUACAGUGCAAUUUUGACUCUGGUGUUAAAGUAGUAGGUUUGUUUUCCUUUGGUUAAGUGAAGAAAAUUGAACUAUUAUAAAUGAUGAUUUGUUUAGCUGUAAGUAAACCUUAUUCUUAGCAUAAAGAUUUGUCCUAGAAAAGAUGGGGGCUCUUGUUCCAAACAUAAAAAUUAAGGAUGUGCAUUCACACACCUAUCCACUUAUAAUAACACUCCUCCUGCCCCGGUGGCACAAAAUCAGGACAAUUUAUUAGGUUACACUAGCAAUGAACGGCAGUUCCUCUAAAACUAAAAUAUGUAUGUUGAAACAGAUUUCCAGAUUGUCUGGUGGGUCUAGUGAAAUUGUUUCCUCCAUUGUUAUUUGAUAUAUCAACAGAUGGUUAACACGUGUAUGAUCACAUAACAGAAUUCUUUGUGAUCUGUGAUCAGCCUUCAAGAAACUCAUUAUUUUAUCUCAAUUUGCAGAUGACUGUAAUGCUAAAAAAGGGAGAACUUUGACCUUUGUUAAUACUGAUCUCUUCUAGUUCAGGUGUAAGUUAUGAAAGGAUAGAAAACUGAAGGUCAGAAUACUAGAAAAUGAAAGGUCGUAUGUGAUUAGAGUUGCAUUUUGAUGUUAUACAAUACAUUAUGCAAUGUGGUUGGAGAAGUAUUAAAAAUGAUUUGUCUGCUGUGUAUAAGCAGAUACCUUAAGAAGUAAUUAAACGUAAGUUUCAGUGCCUCUCACUUAGACAAGAUCCUUCCAAUAUCUUGUAUCUAACUUUACAUUAGGAAUUUUACAUUAAUUUUCCUGAAGAAGACCAGGAAAAUUAUAUAUAUUUCUGGCCACAUAAAAUCCGCAUCUGUCUUUAUAAGGUAAAAUAACUCCCCUAUGGGAUAUUUAAUAUAUAUGUUAAGUAUUAAAGCUAUCCUUUAACUGAUGUAUUUACAUCUACUUUUUAAUGGCUUUCUUGUGAGAUAUGUGACAUAUAAGAAAAUAGUUUUACCUUUGUCAGAUUUUAUGUGUUGGUUUUGAAGGAAAGAAACACAAUGAGUGGGAUUAAAAUGGUAGGUAUUUUUCUUAGUUUAGAAAAAAACAGAGAUUUGGGAUUUGAAUACAGAUGACUCAAGAAAUUUGAUUUUACUUGAAUAUAGUGUUGCUUCAUUUUCCUCUACAUGAUAUACAGUAUGUUGGUGCUGAUAGUGUUUACAGGGUUAUUUUUUGUUUUCCUAACUAUUUGAAAUCAGCAAUUAAGUCAUGCUAUUGUGGAACUGGCAAGAAGAUAGUAGUAGAUAUAAAUUAAAAUUGAUAAUUUAACAGUAAAUUUUUGAAAGUAAACCUUUCCUCUUUUCAUUGCAUUUUCAAAUUAGUUUGGAUCUAAAACUAAGUAUUUUAUAUAUUUUUAGCAUAAAUACGGAUUCAAAAAACAUGAAUCAUGGUCUUACAGAAAGCACCAAAUUUCCUUAUGAUGUGAGCUGUCUUCCUUACAACCUCAUAUCAAUAUUAACUUGGUCCUUUUGAAGCAUUUUUGUUUUAUUUGAAUAAAUUAAUGACAUCCUUUAUUUCAUUUUUGACAUUAUACUCUUAAGAUAGGAAGUGAAUUUUAAUUUAUAUUUGCACAAUUAUCUAGAUUUUCUUAGUUUGAAUCUACCACAUAGGUUUACUUUCUUGGGAAGUUUUUUUCCCCUCUCAUCUAUGUUACCUUUGGGUUAAAAUGCACAGAGUAUUGUUUCAGACUCCAAAUAGCUGUCUUGUAUAUGUGCAUAUGUCAGCUUAUUUGGAUCAAAGUACAUUUAUUAUAUCAAUAACUGCCUAUGCAAUUUUAUAGAUAAAGAUUCUCUCAAGAAACUGUGGUGCAUUAGGCACCUGAGAGACAAUGCAGACAGCUGCAGUGAUUGAAACAGAACAUAUUUUUUUAACCCUCUCUCUCUCUCUCUCUCUCUAUAUAUAUAUAUAUAUAUAUACACUACUGACUUUUUUAAGGCAUGCUUUUCAAGUGAAUUACUUUAUUGGUUAGAAAACCUGCUUGCUAAGACCUUUUUACCUCUCGUCGAAGCCUCUAGAAGACCAUGAUGAAAGGCAGAGGGGAAGAGAAAAGAGAUUAAGGCAGUUAUUUCUUUUGUAGCAGUGAUGAUAUUUUGAGUACCUUUUCUGACAGGGUGUUUUGCACAGCAUCUUGUGGGGAAAUAUGUUAGGUCUUUGGAUGUUACAGCUGCAUAAUUGGAUAACAAGUGGUCUGACUGUAAUGUGACUAUGAAGUUAGACCUCACAUAUUCCUACUAACGAACCUUAUUAGAAGCAUGGUAGGAAAUACCCUCAUAUCACACUGGGAUACAAUGCAGUGUCGUUCCCUCAUCCUAGGUUUGAACUGUCUUAUUUCAAAGGAUUUCUAAAUUAAUUUGUGCUAGAAUUUCUCCUUCAUUGCAAAUUCUGCUUACUAAUAUAAUGUGAAAAUAUAUUAAAGUAGAAAAAUACUUCGGAGAAAUUAAACAUAUUGUUCGAAAUGAUUAUAUGGUUCUAAAAGAGAAAAAGUUCUUGAAUGGAAACAACAACAAUGUGCGGGUGCACACACACACACACACACACAGUUGUUACAAAACCCACCAGAAUUCAACAAUUCUAAGUAAUCUGAUCCUUUCCUUGAAAAAUUUAUUCGAUAGUUUUUCCUUGUGAAUCUUACUACUACUGCUACAAAUCUAGAACUAAAUUUUUAAAACUUAAUCUUGAAAACUGGGCCUUUUCUCCUCCUCCUCCUCCUCCUCCUCUUUCUCUUCCUCCUUCCCCUCUUCCUUCUUUUCGCCUUUCUUCUUUUUUGUACUGGGGAUUAAACCCAAGGAGUGCUGAGCUCUUUUGUUAAUUUUUACUUUGGGGACAGAGUCUCAUAAGUUGCCCAAGCUGAGCUUGAACUUGUGAUCCUCCUGUGUCAGCAUCCUAAUGUCUGGGGUCACAUGCAUGCGCCACUGUUCCCUGGUAGGUUCUUUUUUGGACGUUAUCCAUGUUCACUAUUUAAGAGUUCCUAAACUAUUUACAAAGACUUUGCUAAAAUGUACCAAUAAACUUAAUGAGAAAAAAAAUAGUUCCUAGAAUCCAUAGCAAUAUUAGGAUAUACUUUGCUUUAAAAUGUUGCUUAUUUAGGGCACAAACAUCGGCCCCAAAUUUCUCCCUCUCUGGAGAUGGAAUGCAGUACAAUAGUAAUGUUUUCAGCAUAUAAUACUUAACAACAUUUGGGAACUUUGCAAAUAUAAGCAUCAGAUGUGUUUUUUCCCUGUGCCAAACAGGUGAACAAACAUGUGUUUUACAGAUGCUAAGUAUUGGCUGCCUGUGGUUUUAUAAUAAGCAUGUGCCAGAAGAGGCAAGACAAAUGGCCUCUUGUACUGAAUGCUUGGUGACCUUCAUCUGUCUUACUUUUCUGACAAGGAUUUAAAUCUAAAUUUCAUAGAGCUUGGCUCUCACUUAUCAUAGAGUGGAUUACCUGGUAGUAAUGCACUGGUAGAUGGUUUUUAGUUAUUAAUUCAGAGUUCAUCUCACGAUGAAUCUUUUAUGUAUUUUUAUUGUAAGUAUAUCCGGAUUUACUUUAUAAAAAAUGUGUCUUUGUUUUUAGCUUUUUCUAAAAUAUGACCCAGUAAUAAUGGCAUUUUUCAUUUGUCAAGGGAUAGAAAAAUUUGUUUUUGUGUUGGUAUGUUUAUAUUAACAUUAUUAGGUACUAUACAUAAAUAUAUUUAAAUACCUUUUAUGUUCUAUGGCAAUAAUUUGCAUUAAUGGAAUCAAUUUAACUAAAUGACAAAGUGAUAGGUUAUUCUUAAAGUUUAUUUAUGCUGGAAGUCUUCCCUUUGAUCUGUACUUACGCUAGCUAUAAUUAACAGAACAGCUAGAUCCUGAAGUUUGAUCUGGAAUGUGUUUGUGAUGACCUUGUGCCAUUCCCCAAAUGGUGAGAGCCUGAUGAGUUUGGUCUGGUGAUCUAAAAUACAGAACUAGGAAGAUCCAGCAAAGACAGAGUGGUCCUCAUCUCUGGCAUCAUUUCUUCGCUCUGGUAUUGUAGCUAUGAAACCUGAUAGAGAUGAUAGUGUGCACUUUGUAAAAAUUUAACCCAGUGUCUUAAAUUGUCUGACAAACUCUUAAAGAGAAAAAUUGCUUUUCUGCAUCUAUGUUCCAACCACCUUAGGAAUACAGAGGUAUUAAACUAUGAGAAGAUAAAUGGUACAGGGGGACUUUCCUGUGUGGGUUGUGUUGUUUGUCUUAGGGUUCUUUGGCACUGGGGCCUGUACCAACAUGUGAUCUGUGAAAUGAAAUAGAUUCUUCUACAGUUAAAUGAUUUCCCUCUGGGGAGAGUUCUGGUGCAGCAGUCACACUGCCAGAUGGUGUUUAUGGGCUAUUUAUGAAAGUGGUAAGACACUAUGAAACAAGUGUGCUUUCAUCUGAUGGGAACUCUACGCAUGUGGUUUUGUAUGGAAUGAAUGUUGGUGCAAUAGGAUUCCAUUCAAAAUUGCAUUGAAUUUAAUUUUAGUUUUGUGUAUAUGUAUACCUGUUAUGCUUCUAGUGGCUUCAGUUUUAUAUUGGUUUUUGUACAUACUUUUUCUUGAAAUGUUUUAAAAAGACAUUUAAAUAAACAUUUGAUAGCUU